GCCUCAGGCAGGAUCAGGGGUCACAGCCACACCUGCAGGACUGAGCAGGUGAAAACAAGUCAGGCUGUGAAAGAAAUCCCCCUUUUCUAAACUUUGCCUUGGAGUCCAUGACCUGAUGGGACAGGACUCAGACCUGGGGCAGGGAGGUCUGGGUUUUCCUCCAACCCUGUCACCUUUGUGAAGCUGAUUCUUUUCUGUGCCUCAGUGGCCUUGUCCGCAAUGCAGACUAAACCCCCUUUCACAGUCACCUUCCAGAACCCGAGUACACGUCACAAGCUCCCAGGCAUCCACAGGGGCACUGCACUUCACAGUUGAUGGAAAUGCUUCUCCUCCCUCAUCUCUGAGGAAAUGAAGGUCUGAUGGGAUUGAAAGCCAUCUACAGGUGGCCUUGCCACUUCUAAAUGAAAAAGGCGAAAAGUGGGAAGUUGCAUUCAGCGUGUGUUUUGCACGAAUGGUUGUAGAGGCAGCAAGAUGGGCCCGGCCAACUUCUUUCCUGGAACCACUCAGCAUCUCAGCAUCUCCACAUCUCAGCACCUCCGAAUCUCAGCAUCCAGCUCGAGCUGUGAACCACAUCUGUGGUGCAUCUGUGCUUUAUCUGGUUUAUUUCGUGGACCUAAGAGGAAACCGAAAGGUCACAGAUGGAGGGAGCACACCAUCCCGGGUGACACAGACACAUCCAGUGACCUGAAGUAACUUGGGCAAUGCAGUAACUCAGAAGCCGUUUCCACACCUGGAAACGAAAAUAAUCAUCCGCAGAGCUGUUCAGUCUGAUCACUGGUUCCAUGAGACUUAGACUGGAAAAGUCAACUGACCAUACAAAAAG
rnacentral:lncRNA from 1 species